CUUGUGGGCCAGACAGCGGGCCUGCACGCAUCCAGAUGGUCCACCACUGCACCAUCCACGGGAACACAGAGGAGCUGCGGCAGAUGGCGGCCAGCCGCGAGGUGCCCCGGCCACUCUCCACCCUGCCCAUGUUCAGUGUGCGCACAGGUGAGCGGCUGCCUCCCCGCGUGGACAGCGCCCAGGUGCCCCUCAUUCUGGACCAGCACUGACAGCCCAGCCAGGGGUUCCAGGUCCAGCCCUGAUUUCAUCCUCCCUUCUCUGUCCACACCACGAGUGGCACAUCCCACCUGCUGAUUCCAGCUCCUGGCCCGCCUGGAACCCAGGCUGUAAACAAGCAGGGAGAGGGGGUGGGGUGGGGUGAGAGUGUGUGGGGUAAGGACAUUCAGAAUAAAUAUCUGCUGCUCUGCUCA
rnacentral:sRNA from 1 species